AGAGUUUGAUUCUGGCUCAGAACGAACGUUGGCGGCGUGCAUUAGACAUGCAAGUCGAACGAACGACCUCGGGCUUGCCCGGGGAAGUGAGUGGCGAACGGCUGAGUAACGCGUAGGUGACCUGCCCAGAAGUGGGGAAUAACUGCCCGAAAGGGUGGCUAAUACCGCAUAUGGUCAUGAGUUCAUUCUCAUGUCCAAAGCCUUCGGGCGCUUCUGGAGGGGCCUGCGUUCGAUUAGCUCGUUGGUGGGGUAACGGCCUACCAAGGCGACGAUCGAUAGGUGGUCUGAGAGGAUGAGCACCCAGACUGGGACUGAGACACGGCCCAGACUCCUACGGGAGGCAGCAGUCGGGAAUUUUGCUCAAUGGGGGAAACCCUGAAGCAGCAACGCCGCGUGAGGGAUGACGGCCUUCGGGUUGUAAACCUCUUUUGUCAGGGACGAUAAUGACGGUACCUGAAGAAUAAGCCACGGCUAACUACGUGCCAGCAGCCGCGGUAAUACGUAGGUGGCAAGCGUUGUCCGGAUUUACUGGGCGUAAAGAGCGCGCAGGCGGCCAGGUCAGUCGAAUGUGAAAGCCCCCGGCUCAACUGGGGAAGGUCGUUCGAUACUGCUUGGCUCGAAGGUAGGAGAGGGAAGUGGAAUUUCAGGUGUAGUGGUGAAAUGCGUAGAUAUCUGAAGGAACACCAGUGGCGAAGGCGACUUUCUGGCCUAUUCUUGACGCUGAGGCGCGAAAGCUAGGGGAGCGAACGGGAUUAGAUACCCCGGUAGUCCUAGCCGUAAACGAUGAACACUAGAUGUUGGUGGUAUCAACCCCGCCAGUGUCGCAGCUAACGCAUUAAGUGUUCCGCCUGGGGAGUACGGCCGCAAGGCUAAAACUCAAAUGAAUUGACGG
rnacentral:rRNA from 1 species